UACGUAGGGGGCUAGCGUUGUCCGGAAUCAUUGGGCGUAAAGAGCGUGUAGGCGGCCCGGUAAGUCCGCUGUGAAAGUCGGGGGCUCAACCCUCGAAUGCCGGUGGAUACUGUCGGGCUAGAGUGGCGGAAGAGGCGAGUGGAAGUUCCUGGUGUAGCGGUGAAAUGACGUAGAUAUCAGGAGGAACACCUGUGGUGUAGACAGCUUACUGGACCACUUCUGACGCUGAGACACGAAAGCGUGGGUAGCAAACAGG
rnacentral:rRNA from 1 species